UACGUAGGGCGCAAGCGUUGUCCGGAAUUAUUGGGCGUAAAGAGCUCGUAGGCGGCUUGUCACGUCGGUUGUGAAAGCCCCGGGCUUAACCCCGGGUCUGCAGUCGAUACGGGCAGGCUAGAGUGUGGUAGGGGAGAUCGGAAUUCCUGGUGUAGCGGUGAAAUGCGCAGGUAUCAGGAGGAACACCGGUGGCGAAGGCGGAUCUCUGGGCCAUUACUGACGCUGAGGAGCGAAAGCGUGGGGAGCGAACAGG
rnacentral:rRNA from 1 species